rnacentral:hammerhead_ribozyme from 1 species
AUCCAUCUGACGAGUCUCAACUAGGACGAAACGCGUGUCUUGGAU